CGUAGGGGGCAAGCGUUGUCCGGAUUUAUUGGGCGUAAAGAGCGUGUAGGCGGCCUGGUAGGUCAGCUGUGAAAACUCGAGGCUCAACCUCGAGACGCCGGUUGAAACCAUCAGGCUAGAGUCCGGAAGGAGGAGAGUGGAAUUCCCGGUGUAGCGGUGAAAUGCGCAGAUAUCGGGAAGAACACCCGUGGCUAAGGCGGCUCUCUAGUACGGUACUGACGCUGAGACGCGAAAGCGCGGGGAGCAAACAGGAUUAGAUACCCUGGUAGUCCACGCCCUAAACGAUGUCAACUGGUUGUUGGGUCUUUACUGACUCAGUAACGAAGCUAACGCGUGAAGUUGACCGCCUGGGGAGUACGGCCGCAAGGUUG
rnacentral:rRNA from 1 species